UUUCGCAUUGUACUAGUGCAAGGAUGAGGCAAAAGUCAUUUCUUACUGAUUUGAUCUGACUCUAACUUCUGUCUGUUAGAUUAGCUGUAAGGCUGACUGGCUCACUGAAUGGGUAGGUUGUUUGGGUUAAGCAGUUUUGUAAGAGUCUACUAUUUGGAUAUUUUAUCUGCAGUCUUACUCAUUCCAAACUAGCUCUGCCAUUGAAAAUUAUUUGAUACAAAAAAAGGAGUAAUUGUGACUAAAUUUUAGCAGGAAUCUUUUUGUGGCAAAAGUCUCGAGCCACGUCUCCCUUCUAAUCCCCUCCCAUUCUUCCCCCUAUUGGCUUGUUGCUGAUCAGGAAACGCGUCAAUUAUGCUCCGAACCCACUUCUUUCCCCUUGCUGUUGCCACUGCUCAGCUCUCAGGGUAGACAGCCUCCUGUGCAAGCCCCUCAUUCGGGUCAGAUGUGGGCUCCAACGUGAGCUAUUCUGACCUCUUGAUCUGCAGCGUCACCCACUCCGGGUCACUCAGGCUCCCUGGCUCCGCGUCACUCCUUGAACUUCUUUAUCCCAUCUCAGUGCCCUGAUGGAGACGAAGUCAGAGAAUGAACGGCUCAGGCCAAUAUGGAGAUGAUAUUCUGGGAAGGAAGAUGACUUUCACAAAACUUAUCUGCUAUAAAGUCCGUGGUCCAAGACUACAGGCUCUGUGGAUGAAGAUUUGUGUCACAAAAUUUCCCUUCAUGGAAAGACCUGUUGCUCCAGCAACGAGCUCCUUCAGGAUCCGUAGACGUCAGGGGCAUGCUGGCGGGUCACCGCACUGAAGAGAGUGCAGGCCUAAUCUUUCACUGCUCAGGGGAACCAAGUGCAGUUCUUGGUGCUGAGCGUGUCCUGUGUGGUCAGACAUCACCCUGACAAGGUUAUUGGGUUUUUUGUGUUUCUCUUUCUUUCUUUCUAUACUGGGCCUGCCAGAGUAUAGCUGAGAAUGCAAGUUUUCUCCCAAGAGAUUUCUGGGCACCAUACAACAAGACAUAUCUCUAGACCCUAUCCAGUUGUCUCUAAAUAUGCUGGAAUAAUUUAGGCUAUUUCUACCUAGAACAUCUCAAAGUGAUUAACUUUCUAGGCUAGUACAAUCUAAUCUCAUCAGACUUCCCAUCUCUGACAUUCUUAAGUAUCAUCCUAAGGAAGACUCUCUUUAUGUCUCUGUCCUUGAUGGUCUCCAUAUUGUCUUUGCUACACGAAAACUACUUGCCAACACUUUCACUUCUACACAGAGACCUUCCUUUCACUGAGGCCCUUUUCCGACUCUUCUUCCAUUCUGCUCUCUGCCACCACCACACCAGUCUAUGAUUAACAAAUUCCUAUAUCCUCAACCUCUUUACUAACUAGAAUUUCCACCUUCCUACUGUACUUAGUACUAACACCGCCAUUCUCCUUUGAUUCUUCAUGACCUCUUCUUAUUCUUCUCAGGCCACACUCAUUUAUACUCAGGGUUUCAAAAACAACCCACGUGCUGAUGCUAAGCCCAAAUAUUUCCCUUGAUUUCUAGGACCAUAUACCCAACCACAAUAUUCAAUACUCAGAUAACCAUUACCCUCAAAGAACAGUCGUACCUUACCAUGACCAGAGUAGGUUAGACAUCAUUCAUUCACUCAUUUACUUAUGCAGCAAGGAUGUAUUAAAUACUUGCUUACAGCUGUGUCCUAUGCUGGGUUAUAAGGAAACAAGUCUCCUUGCACUCGUGGGUUUAGUGUAGAGAAUGUUUCUAUAUAUAGAACUAGUUGCAAUGUAGUGUUCCAGACUCCAUGAAAGAUGGUGUAGAGACAACAGUAAGUUCAUGAAGAGGGAGCUUUUACUUAUACCUGGGCAGAUCAAACGAGUUUUGUGCCGAAGAAUGGGUCUUGAGCUGUAUCUACAACAUGACUAACAGGUGGGAGCCAGAUGGAUGGAGAGGGGGUGACGUUAAGCUGCCAUUGUCUCAUCAUGAGUAUGCUCCCCACUCAUGUAUUAAGAUAUGGUAUACUCGUUCACUUACAUUUCUGUCCUUAUGACGGACCCUGCACCUUCACCGUUUAAACCCUAUGUAUGGCACUAAACAUGACACGUAUUGGGCGUACAGUAAAUGUUUAUAAUGAACUACUGACCUCUGUAUUUACGCACCUUUCAAUAGAAGAACCAGCACCGAAGCCCGAGUCUCAUUACCUCAGAUGAUUCUUUUAAAUUGUGUUGUACUCUCUAAUGUAAUAGGAUGCUGAUAAAAACAUAUAUGACAUAAGUCUAAACUGUCUUUCCAUUUGGCCUUUAAAUGGAGGUUUACAAACUUCCACCAGUACAUGAGCGCCAAAGAUUUUACAUUGGUAGAUUUUCAUAUAUUCUUUGCUAUACCACAGAAUUAAUUAUUGAUGAAAUGGCUGAGCAACAAGGAAGACGGAAGACGGACGUUACGCCCUAAAAGGGAAGUUUUGUCACUGCCUGGAAACCUUUAUCCCUUAAAAAAAUCUGUAAUGUAAAGCAUUACAUUGUAUGUGAUAUUUCCUGAUCAUAUUUUUAGACGCAUUUGUAAACAUUUAGGAAUAGAAUGCUCUUCAGCUUUUUGAAUCAGUUUCUUUAUUCAAUGCCUGCUUUCAUAAACGGUUUUCAUUUGUCCUCUGUCAUGUACCUUUGGCUUGUGGUGAUAUUUAUAAUGAGUCAAUCAGCAAAGGUGACUGACUGAGCUGAUUUAUGCCAGAUGGGCCUCUCCCCUUCACAUAUAAAUGGCAUGAACUCCAUAAAUCUAAGCUCUGAAGGUGUUAGCCAGCUCUAAUGAAAACACAGACGUUUACCUCAGGGGACCAAGCAGUGGCUUCCUUCUGUUCCUUCACCCUGGAAAGAGCAAGAGGAGAUCUAAGGUGCUGCUGACACAAUUUUCUGUUAUUUCCUGAUUGUCACCUGUUUUAUAUGACUUCACAUUUUAAACUUUUGAAUUUAUAAAUAAUUCCCAGAAUUAUUAAUAUUAAGAGACCCUCAGCAUUAAUUAGUCAGUAGGAAUGAAUAAUAAGACUGAACAGUUAUUAAGUAACCUCUUUAUGCCGGGCAUUGAGGUGAGAAAUUUGCAAUUUCACUUAUUCUUCACAAAAACCUUCCAUGGCAAAUACGAAAAUGGUCAAUAUCACUUAACAUUUGAAGAAACAAAACCAUGAGAGAAGUAAGUUCACAGUCAUAUCAUAGGUAAGGCCUGACAAGCGUUUAAAUCUUUAUAGUCUAAUUCCAGAGUCCAAACUUUUAAACCUGAUACUACAUGACCCCUCAUCUGUGAAUAUAAAUAAAUACAGAUUUAUAAGAAUCUUGCAUUCUAAAUCGAAAAGGUACAAACAUAAUUUAAUAUGAACAUGUUUAAAGGAAAUAUAUAUUUAUGCGUAAGCAAUGCAGAAGUUAGUUGGAAAUACGAGUCUCAUUAAGAUAUUCAUUCUUAUGACAAACAAGUAUGACUUGUUAUCUUUAAUUUUGUCUUCUCUCUAGGAAAUGUAAUAAUGGAAAAUAAUUAAAGUGAUGCUUAAUCACGGCUGUCAGUAUUGGCAAUCUCGUAAGUCAGUUAAAAGAGCAAAUAGAGACCAGUCUAACUCAUGGAAUCUUAAGGAAUAUUACGCCAGCUUGUUGGAAAAUGUCCAUACUCACAAAAAUAUUAUAUAUUAGUUCUAUUUAUUAAAUAUCAUUUUGUCUUCCCAAACUACUCAUUAUUAUCUUACUAUAGCAGCUAAUUUUCCCUAAACAUUUCAUAGUUAUUGAAAUUUAAAAUAUAUAUUUAUUCAAAAACGGAAACAUCCCAUGUUUGUCUUUUGUUAAUUAUGAGCAAUGUUCUAGCACUUCUUAAUGAAGCACAAGCUGAAAUAGCACUUCACAAAAUGCCAUGAACUGUCACCCCACUUUCAAAUCCUUCUGAAGACUAGUUAGGAUAUUUUAAGGCCAUAUAUGUUUUCCCUAAUUUUAGUAUUUACAGUAAAAGUGAAAAAUUCUGAACUUUUACCCUUAGUCUUAUUAUAGAGACCCUAACAAAUGGUGACGUAGACUCUAAACAUGUUUUCAGACCAGGGCUGCCAUGUCCAGCUGCGCAGGUCGUGCAGUGCAUCACUGUGGGAGGGGCCGCUCGCAGCGUCUGUGUGAUGGCCCCACUCCAGACCCAGUGUUCAGUGACAUUGACAUGGAAUAUCAAGAACAAAGGGCCUGUUAGCAAAAUUCAGAUUUAGGGAAAAGAAGAAAACAUGACAUAUUUUACAUCCUUUUACACAUCAGACUCAAACUUUAAUUCUGUUAAAAUUUUGAUGUUUUAUGUAAUGAAACUUGGUCUCUUUAAUACUAACACAGAUUUUGCAAAAUGGAGCACCAGUUUGUGGACAUAGACUUACGUCUACAUAUAGACAUAUGCUAAAGGCUGUCUAGUCAGCCUUUAAUUCUCAAGGUCUGCAAGAUGUCUUCACAGAUGAACUUAUGAGUGUGAGGAAGGGAUAAAGCAUGGCAUGUCCCCAAGAAGCAGUUGAAUCCUGUGGGUGUGUUUUAUUCCUAUUCUUUGAGCAGUAAGUAAUAUUUCCCUUUCAUUUUUUGUGCCCUUAAUAUAGCUGUAAUGGGUAACAAAAGGUGUUUUUAUAUUUGAUUAGGAAAACAUUAGACUAUAAUAAUUAGUUUUUCCAUUUAAAUUCCCUAAAAGAGAGUUGCUAGUGGAAGAAAAGAAAUCGUUUUUAGAAUAAGCUAGCUACCUUCAAAUUACUUGAAGAAAAAUGUAACUAGCUAGAGCUCUAGUCAACAUUUACAAAACGCUUUAAUAGAAAACAAGUCACAUAUCUCAGAGCUUAAGAGGGAUAUAAACUGCAAACAUUAUUUUCUUUAUGUUCAUUUUGACUAAAAGUAUCAGUCAUUCUAAUGGCUGGUUAAAUAAGACCAAACGAUUCCAUUCCAUCUGGGCCGCAUGUGUCAACAACUCACUUACGCGUUUACGCUAAUGUCUGCUUAAUGCUUGGUUGUUGGUUGCCACCAUUUUACUUGAGAACAUGAGCUCAGUAUUGAAAGGGUCAUUUUACACAAAUUUAAAAGUGUGUAAAUAAUGUGGAUAAUGGGAUUUAUUAUUUUUAUUUGAAUAAACACAAUUUUUAGGUAACAAAUAAAAGACCUUCAUUAUAAGAUGAGAAAAAGUGCUACACAGUUAAUCAUGUUAACAAUACAUUUUAUCUUGUUUCUUUUAUAUUCUAUCAUUAAAAAGCUGAAAUUCCUGUGCACAGUGGACUUUAAAUUAAGGCAAUUCUGGCUUUGAAAAAUAUUUAUGUUUCAGAACUUCUUUCUUAGACUUAUUUAAUGUGUCUCUCUUCUGGUUUCAGUAUCCUGGGUACUUUCUCUAGGGGUUCUAUGCAGAAAGGAGACAAGGAGGCGUGAGGGAGGACAAAUGUGGUCUCAUCUGACAGCUUUGAAUAAAUUCUGCAGGACAGAAUGGUGUGUCAUUUCAAGUCCAGCCCGUCCCCCGCAUAGAUGUAAUGUGCUGUCAAGUUAGACUUGCCGGCAGCAGGUUUACACGUGACUUAUUGUAGUGGGGCGAAGCUUAAACUGAAAAGCGAGCUUGACUUUGUACAGGGUUAUUCCUACUCAAUACCUUUUUAAAAGCUCACACUUAGAAUGUAUAUUUUUAGGAACUAGAUGUUAAUAUUAAAAUGUUGCUGGAGUAGAGGACAAACCAAGAUUUGCUGAGAGUACUUUUCUUGUUUUCUUCACUUUUUUUCCUCAUCUACUGUACUAUUCUCAUCCCCACCUUCCUCAACUCCACCACAGCUCCAAUUUAGAAAAAUGGUGAAUCCUUUAGAUCUAUGCACUGACCAUGGGGGAAAUGGCUGCAGUUGAAAUCUCACAUUAGGUAGAAUUCAUGUAUUCAUCUAUUUAUCAUUAUACAUAUCAUUCGUUUAUUUAUCACAACUAUCAAAGAGAUCACUGCAGAGCCCUGAAAUGGGCAGACGCUCUACUGGACACGGGAGACACCCAGUCCCUUCAGGAGCUGACACGGCAGUAGAGAAGGCAGGGAUAUGUUCAUAAGCUAAAUCCUAAGCUCGUAAGUGCUCUGAUGGAGAUAUGCACGUGGUGUGCUGGGAAUCAAGAGGGGCGUCAGAAUCACAUGACAGAGUCAGGACAGGAGUUGAAGGACAGAAGCUGGAUUCAGAGGGUGGACUGAAGUUAGUCAGAUGAAGAUGAGAGAGAAUUUUAGGGAUGGAGGAUGACUGGGCCAAGGGGUUUUAGCAAGAGGUAACGCUGUGCAAUCACAGCUAUGGAACCUGGAGCUGUAGGUCUUAGAACAGAAGUCUAUGCUGUGUGUAGGAACUGUGAAGCUGUGGAGAAGGGUUAUGAGGCUUACAGUUCCUGAUUGCAUUCUAGAACAGUUGUUCUAAGGGCAGUAAUGUGGAAGGGGUGGGGGUAGAUUCCAGGGUGAUUUGAUAUAAAGAUCCAGUGGGACAUUAAAUACUGUAUCUUAGAUAGGAAACAAUAAGGUUCUGAACUGAGAUACUGACUUUUAUAAUAAUAGGAUCAAGGAUUAAUUUGAAAGAUAAAAUCAACAAGACUCCUCUUUCAACAGAGAUGGAGGAAGCAAGAGAAAAGGUGGCUCCUGAAGCAGGGUCACUGGAGAGGCUGGAGGGCACGGACUCCCCUGGAAACGGGACGAGCAGACGGGAGCGGGCUUUUCCUUCAAUUACUUGGCACUUAAGGCAGCUCAAAUGAUUGCAGAUGGAGUAAAGGCUCAGGAGUGAGGGGAAAAUUAAGAGCGAUUUCAUUAAUGACUUUAAUUUUCUCAGUUAAGUGGAAGGCAAACUACUCCACUGCAGUUGAGGAGCGGCCGGGUAAAGGUGGCAGAGGAGACUGGCAAGUGCUUGGAAUGACUGAUACAGGACUGGGGGAAGGAGACAGUCAGGAUUGCUGAACACCCUUUAGGUCUCACUACUAAAGAGUUAUUAUAUUUCUUGUUUGUUGGCUUUUAAAACAAUGCAAUGCAGUGCUGAGUAAUAACUAAUCUAAAUGUGACCCAUUGGCAUGGGAGGCAAAAGCGCGGAGGACUGGUCACGGGAUUGGAGAAGCCCAGGAAUUGUGAGGGUACAGUUCAGGAUAAUCAGGUGAUGAUGUUCACCCGCAGGCUAAGGAAGUUAUUCACUCAAUCUUACUUGUUGAGCACCUGCUGUAUGCGACACGUUACACAAACAUGAGAAAACGAGCUUCUUCGAGAAGCUUAAAAUCUUAUAAGGAAUGUGCUGCAGGCUUAUAACAUAGAAAAAUAAGACAGCAUUUGAAGUCAUAAUAGUCAUUUGUGUUAUCACAGUCAUCUCUAAAGUACUGGGAAAUUCACUUUACUUUUUAGACACUCUUACUUUUCUUAGUAGAACCACAUUUCUCAUGUUAUAAUACAUAUACAUAUAUGCACGUAAAGGGCCCUUAAUAGAUAUGCAUAAUAUGCAUAACCAAACAUUUGUAACAUACAUACAUACAUGUAAAAGUAAAGGGCCUUCUGCCAUGUUCUCAAAGAAGAUUUGUGAGUAUCCCAAUGGUUGUACUCAGUUUCUUCAGGCAGUAGCUGAAAUACCGCCUUCGAUCUCGACAAUUCCUGGCCACCUCUCCCUCACUCUCCAAAGGAACAGAUUCAAAAGAAGCACACGGCGUAGCAAAUGAAAGCACCGGAAGAAAAAAUAUUACUUUUUCUAGAUGGCGUCCUCUGGACAAUGAACAGCCUACCUCUACUCCCGUGACUGGCACGUAGUAACACUCAGACACUUGCUGCAUGAAUGAAUGAGCAAAUGAAAGGAACACAGAAAGGGCUUUCCUUGAGGGUUAGACAAACUUGGAUGACAAGAAAGCUCUGUACUUGUGAAAAUUAAACCAAAAACACUCUUCUUAUUUGUAAAAUGGAAAUAAUAAUACCUCUUAUAAGAAUGGCAAAAGGUUCAAGUGAAACUUUUAUGUGUAUCACCUAGGAUUGUUUUUGUGGUUUUUCGUAUAGCAGGAAAAUUGAUUAAUUAAUGAGAUUCCCUUUAUUCUUCUUUCCCCAACGUAUUUCUGGUAACUUGACCCAUAAUUUCAUAAGGAUAAGUUUUUCAUUAACUAUGGAAACAGGAUUUAGGUUUUUUCAGUAUGUAAAUUGUGCUGCAUCAAAACACUUUAAAUUUUAUUAACUUUUGAAUUCACAAAUGUUGAGAGAAUCCUGUAUUUAUAACCAGAACAACUAGGAAAAGAACCAAACUUAUAUAGAGUUAACCACUUUCUUGCAAAAGUCCAAGUUGAAUUUUAUUUUUAAACAAACCCAUACAGAAGCCCAAUUUCCUAUGACCCCAAAUCUCUCUGAAGAAAUGAUGAAGAUUAAAAUCAUAUAUGCUCGAAACGCAAAAUGCAGUGUCCUCCUACUCCAGCAGGGAUGGGCUAAUUUGGGUGGCAUGAAUGCUGCUGUGGGACUUACAAUCAGAUAAACUUUGUAUUUGUUUGUAGAGCCUAGAAUCUUGAAAAAUUAACAGGAAAUUAGAGCAUGUCACUGAAACAGGACAGAGGUUGACAUUCUCAGAGGCAGAGAAAUGCUGGCAUCUAAGCCAGUAUAUAAUGGUCAAACCGCAGGGAGUAUCUGAAUUUCAAAGAACAAAAAAUUUCCUUUUGUGAACUGAACUGCCAUAGAGCCUUAGAAAGAGCUUAUGGCCAAGUGGAUUUCCACUGUUAUUCAUAUGCUAAAUUCAUAACCCCACCUCAGUGUGAAAGUGAAAGUAUUUUACAUGUAUGUUCAUACUGGAAGAAGUAGCCCCAAAGUCCAUCCCUAAAUAGAGUAAGGCUUAGAACGUCAGGAAGAGCCAGGAUCAAGUUCAUGGGCACCGAUUUACAGACCUGAUGGCUCAAACAACCGUAAACAUCACCACUGGAUUCUCUCUCUUGGUGAAGCUGAUGAGGCAUGAAAAUGAAAACGUGGCAUCUAUGAAUGACUCCCUCUAGAACGAGGACAUAUUUAUAUGGCCCAGAUCCUAAAUACAACUGUAAAUGUAGGGAGUCAGAAAUGAUGCGAUUAUGCUGAUAAGUGGACUCUGACAAUGAAGCCCUGGUAAAUUCCAAUCAUUGAUUUUCCAGCCACAGUGGAGACCGUCUCGAGAGUCAGGGCUCUCAAGCCCUAAAGUGCAUGUGAGUCACCUGGAUCUUGUUAAAAAUGCAGCUUUCGAUUGAGUAGGUCUGAAGUGGGAUCUGAGAGUCUGCAUUUCUGACAAACUCCUGUGGGAUGCUAAUGCUGCCGGUGUACAGAGCAAACUGAAUAACAGAGAUGUGGGCACAGCCAGUCUUGGCAUUGAGCUGGUGUCUGCAACAGUUGAUUGGUUUCCAGUGAAACAGAAUGUUAGAUGGCUGUGAUUGCUCGAUCACACAUUCUCAGGUAUUUUAAAGAUUGCAGCAAAAUGGGAUAAUAUGGUGCUCAUCCCAGGUGACUGAGACUUUGUACGGUUCAAGAUAACACUGUGUUCUAUUUACUUAUGACAAUGGCAGCCUUCGGUACAGUUUAAAUCUGGGAGAUUUAAAAACAAAUUAUAUGCGUCCCCCAGCCCAGAUGAAUGAAGUCAGAAAUUCUACAGUGGAUUCCAAUGUGAAGUUAGCCUAGAUUAAGAUCUGGUGGUUCUUAUUUACCUUCCUGGAGCCAAAAGCCUAGAGGAAAAGAGAAUUAAGACCUAAGACCUCUUGUUCCCUCAGCAAUUUCCUUCUCUUGAGUUUCAAGUUAGUAAAGGGGGCAUUGGUGGGAGCAGAGAGACAGGCUAACCAGGGAAACAGCAAACAUCAAACAGUAUGAUCAUCCAAGUAGAAGAGAGAGCACACAAGGCCAGAAUUAAAAACCAGGCUGCACUGCUCCCCCCAAGCAAAUUAAUCAUAUCCAUCUAUCUAUCUAUCUAUCUAUCUAUAAUUGAGAUAUGUAUAUAUAUAUCUCAAGGAAAGUGCAAUGAGGAUAAAAGAAACAUAUAUUAAAUUAUAACCUUUUAUUAUCUUUCUCUCUUUUUCUACCAACUAAAGGAAACUAUUUCUUUGGCAGCUCUGGCUUCACUGGAACCCUCGCCUACAAAGAGAAGGGUUAAGAUAGCAAGUUAAGAGGUGUUUACUUACAGGACAGAAAAUAAAGAAAGUGGGACAGAACUGGAGGAGCCCAGCCCGUGGGGACACCCACACUGGGAGCGCUCAUUGGAGUUGCUGAGUCCCUGUGCGAGCUCCGGUUGGCUGGACCAAGCAAACAAAGGCUUACGGAAUUUAUUCAAUGAGGAAAACUUUGAUUUGCGGAGCUAACUCAUACUUGCUUUUGUAUAUAAGACAUUUAUUUUUUUCUUAAAUUAACAAAUGAUCCUUCUUCAAAUCAAAAGUGAUAACAUAACUCUAAUGCAUGAUUUGUUCAAUUAUUUUUUCUCACAUUGUAAUUAUUAAAUGAAGCAGUAUGCAAAUUUGUUAGAGUCUGUUCCAGUUCUUAUUAAUAUCUUUAACCCACUAAAUUCUAGUCACUGUUUUCAAAUAUUUGAUAUUGCCAGGUUUAUAAAAUCUUAUUAAAAAUUAAAUACACAUGGAAGUUUCAAAUUGAGCUUUACAGGUUUAAUUAGUAAUGAAUCACUUAAAUGCUGAAUAUUUGUGUUUUACAGACACAGGCUGAGAGUCAAGGAUGCUCAUUUAAAAAAAAUUAGUUUGAAUCAAAUAAACUCUAUGUUAUUGGGUUAUUGAAUGUAUUUUCUUAAAUGAAACCCCAUGUUUUUAUUAAUCCAUUCAUUAAACUUAAAAAUCUUUAAUCUGUGACUUUCUCUUUGUGUGAGUUUUGUACACACACAUAUACACCGAGGGAAAAACUAUGGUUAUACAAAUAAUGUUUUACAAAUCUACAGAUAAGAUGUACUGCUAAUUUCUAAUUGCAAAUAUGUUCUUUAUUUCCUAUUGUUACUUUGUCUUCUAGACACCUGCCCACUCCCUAUUGUUGUAAAGAGUGAACUUCAACGAUUGCUGCUUUUGCGUGUCUAUAGAGCAGUGUGCUCUGUGCCUGGGCACUAUCAUUUGGCUUUUGCAAGUGAACAGAAAUUGAACAAGUUUUGCAAUUUUCUUCAAAAUACCAUGUAAUAAGCUGCUUUUUAUUAUACUAAUAAAACGUCUACAGAGAUUUUUAAGCACUACAGCAGUUUCUUUGGUAUUUGCUUAGUUGCUGUAUCAUAUGCUGCUGUCUUAUUUGUGACAAUGCAGGUAAUUGGGCAGAGGGAGGAACUGGAUGGGCCCACAAAGGCACGUUGGCCUUCCGCAACUAUCUUGCAAAGCAUUUGUAAGGAGAAGUGAUUGACAUUAGGUAUUCAGGACAUUGUUGCAACUAUGCAGAUGGAUCAUGAGGCCAAGUAGACAUACAGAAGAAGAAAUAAUUCUUCUAUGGGAAAAAUUCCAGUGGACUAAUGAACAUCCCUGUUUAUAUCUUGUCAGACAGAUAUCGUGGUCAGAAAAUACCGUAAACUUGGAUUCUGUUUUAAAAAUAAAGAUAAUCUAUUUAUUAUAGCCUUGUCAAUGAAAACAAUCCAUAGCCAAUCUAUAAAUGAAAAU